GCAUUUAAAAUUUAUCCACAAAUAUGAUGAUUAUUCCUAGAGUACUACUGAUCCCUCUUCCCAAAAUAAGUGACCAAUUUGGAUGUAAAAUUUGUUUCAAGAUAAGUGAUCACAUUACAGUGCUACUUGUCUAUUAAUCACCUCUUGUUCAAACUUCUUAUCUUACCUCAACUACCCUCCCACUUCUAAACAUCCCUCAUUUAGGUCAUUUGCCUUUCCUCAUUAUUUGGCUCAUAUAUAAGUGAUAAAGUAGCUUAUUCAUUUAUUUUAGAACAGAUCGAUGGAGUACUUAUUACAACAAUCACCCGUCAUUCAAAUUUCUUUCUAACUUACACUCAACCACCGUCCCACCUCCAUCUCUCUAUCUUCUCCUCCAACUCUCUCUCUUUUAAUGAGGGGCACCAAAAUAUUUUCUUCUCAACUUUAAUCUCUACUAAACAAUUUGGCAUGUGUAUAUUUGUUAAUGGAGGGAGUAUUUUCUAAGUUCUAAGUACUUGAUAUAUAUCGUUUAACCAGAAAUCUAUACCUAUGUGAAAAAAAUACAUUGUCCAUAGAUCGAUCUUUCAUGAGUAUAUUACUGAAUCAUGCCAAAUUUGGCCAAUGUUACAUAUUAAUUAUGAUCUUAAAGUUUGUUCUGAAAUUACUUUGCCUUGAAUCUUCCAAGCAAGUAUAUAUAUACGUGUAGGCACCACACUUCUCAUGGUCAAAUUUAGAUAUUUAUCAACCUAAUUAGUCAGUCCAUAUAUAGAGAGUUAAUGCAACUAGCUAGUUGCUUUGUCUAAUGUGAGAUCUUUUGUACGUGAACUGUAAACAUUAUAUAUACAACCUCCAUCCUAUAUUACUUGUCGCUUUGAGUUUUUAUUUGUAAUGUUUGAUCAUUCGUCUUAUUCAAAAAUUUUUUACAAUUGUUAUUUAUUUUAUUUGUGAUUUGCUUUAUUAUCAAAAGUAUUUUAAAUAUGACUUAUCUUUUUUAUAUUUGCACUAAUUUUUCAAAUAAAACAAAGGGUCAAACGUUGUAACGAAAAAGUCAAAGCGACAUCUAUUAUGAGACGGAGGUAGUAUGAUCGGUGUGCUGUCUUUAGUCCUGUUUAAGAUACUUAAUUUCUCUGAAAUACAAUUGCUCAUAAUUACA
rnacentral:sRNA from 1 species